UUUUCAUUCAGAGUGGCGAGAGAGAUUCGGCUCCACGACCGCCACGGCAACCUGCCCCUCGGCAAGGUGCCCAUGCCGACCCGCAAGGGAACGAUGUGGG
rnacentral:ncRNA from 2 species